rnacentral:rRNA from 1 species
GAUGAACGCUGGCGGCGUGCUUAACACAUGCAAGUCGAACGAUGAAGCCCAGCUUGCUGGGUGGAUUAGUGGCGAACGGGUGAGUAACACGUGAGUAACCUGCCCUUGACUCUGGGAUAAGCGCUGGAAACGGCGUCUAAUACCGGAUACGAGCUUCCACCGCAUGGUGAGUUGCUGGAAAGAAUUUCGGUCAAGGAUGGACUCGCGGCCUACCAGGUAGUUGGUGAGGUAACGGCUCACCAAGCCGACGACGGGUAGCCGGCCUGAGAGGGUGACCGGCCACACUGGGACUGAGACACGGCACAGACUCCUACGGGAGGCAGCAGUGGGGAAUAUUGCACAAUGGGCGCAAGCCUGAUGCAGCAACGCCGCGUGAGGGACGAAGGCCUUCGGGUCGUAAACCUCUUUUAGCAGGGAAGAAGCGAAAGUGACGGUACCUGCAGAAAAAGCACCGGCUAACUACGUG